rnacentral:rRNA from 1 species
CCUACGGGAGGCAGCAGUGGGGAAUAUUGGGCAAUGGGCGCAAGCCUGACCCAGCAACGCCGCGUGAAGGAAGAAGGCACACGGGUUGUAAACUUCUUUUCUCAGGGACGCAGCAAGUGACGGUACCUGACGAAUAAGCCACGGCUAACUACGUGCCAGCAGCCGCGGUAAUACGUAGGUGGCAAGCGUUAUCCGGAUUUACUGGGUGUAAAGGGCGUGUAGGCGGGACUGCAAGGCAGAUGUGAAAACCACGGGCUCAACCUGUGGCCUGCAUUUGAAACUGUAGUUCUUGAGUACUGGAGAGGCAGAUGGAAUGCGUAGUGUAGCGGUGAAAUGCGUAGAUAUUAGGAGGAACACCAGUGGCGAAGGCGGUCUGCUGGAUAGCCACUGACGCUGAGGCGCGAAAGCGUGGGUAGCAAACAGGAUUAGAUACCCUUGUAGUC